UACGUAGGGAGCAAGCGUUGUCCGGAAUCAUUGGGCGUAAAGCGCGCGUAGGUGGCCUCAUAAGUCCGCUGUGAAAGUCCAAGGCUCAACCUUGGAAAGCCGGUGGAUACUGUGAGGCUAGAGUACGGAAGAGGCGAGUGGAAUUCCUGGUGUAGCGGUGGAAUGCGCAGAUAUCAGGAGGAACACCAAUAGCGAAGGCAGCUCGCUGGGACGGUACUGACGCUAAGGCGCGAAAGCGUGGGGAGCGAACAGG
rnacentral:rRNA from 1 species